UUAAGUCGCAUUAUUUCAUAAGUCGCUUUACGUUUCGCCCUUAUAAGUCAACUAGAACACACUUCGCGGUCCCUCCUUCCUAUGUAUUCCUCCAUUUUCGACGGCGAAUGAAGUAAUUUCGGCUGACAUAACCUACAUUCAACCUCCAAUUCCUUCACAAAACAGUCCAAAAUCUUCUGAUUUCAGGUAAUUCUAUUGUGUUUUGAGUUAUCAGAAAUAUUUAGUUUAUUUGUAAUAUUAGAAGAUUGAUUUGAGUUAUUUUGGUGACUAAAAACUGAUUUGAGUUACUUUGGUGACUAAAAACUGAAACUUGCUCAGUUCUUCCAAAUUCAAACAUUUUUUAAUUUGAAAGUAGUACUGAUAGUGAGGCUAGUGUAUUCAGUAAUUUUAGUCAUAAUUGCGUGGCUUUCAUUUGGUUUUCAUGUGCACCAUUGGUUUUUGAAAGAACAUUUCGUAAAGGUUGGAUGAAAGUUGCUAACUUUUGGAUGUUUUGUUCACUGUGAUAGUACAAAGACAUACCUUAGAUUUGAGGCAUAGUUAGUUUUUAGCCAAGAACUCUAAAAUACCUCGUCUUUUAUCAGAUAAUUCAUCCCAUGGAUUAAGAAGUUUAGUAUAAGAGUUGUCCAAUCAAGAACUUUCAAUCCCUGUCAUGUGCACAGGCUGUGAGUAGCAAUCAUCUUGACAUGAAUUGCAUUAAGAUUGAAAAAUUGAAUUCUACGAUAUAUUAUUAGACCAAUGACAACAUAUUCCAUUUGGCAACCAAAUCUUCGCUAUCAUUUUGAAAGUGAAUACAGAUGUAAGGGAAAAAAGAGAGAAUGGGAAUGAUGAAAAGGGGUAUCGUGAUUCAUUGUGCAUAUGAAAUGAAGUGAGUCUAGCAGGGAACUUGUUGAAGCAAGUCUGUGGACAUUGAGGAUGUCUUAACAAAUAAAAGAACAAUACCAACAUUGGUUAUUUUCUCCUCCUUUUUGCAUCAGAUGUCUUCUCCAGCAAUUUGCAUUGAAGUCCCUCUGAGAUUUUCUUUAAUGAAGGACAAUUAAGAACUACAAUCUUCUUGAUCUUUGGCAUUCCCAUAUCAUCCACUAUCAAUUCUUGUAGAGAACUACAAUUUUCAAUUUCGAGCAAUUCAAGUUGCAGAAAACUAUCUACUCCAGAGCAAUCCAGCUUUUUUACACUGUUGUAGUAAAAGUCUCUGAGUUUCAAGAUCUUCAAUUUGAGUAGUCUUUUUAGUGUAUUCAUUGGAUCUUCUGUCAUUGUAAAUGCGGAAAUAGUAAGUUUGACGAUAUUUGGAGGAAAUGCUUCCGAGUUGGGUAGUUUUUUCAGUGGUAUGUGCUCAAUAUUUAGCUUGGUGAGAUAAUGAUAGCCUGAAAGAUUGAAUGUCUGUGCAUAAUACGUACUGCUGAUUGCCCCUGCUUCAAUACUUCUAAACAUUCUGUCAUCGAAAUUUCCGCUCAAACAAAGCUUCUCGAGCUUCUGUAACACAUGAGCUGCAUCCAUCAAUGCCCUCAAUAUCACUUCUGAGAUAUACCUUAUCUUCAAUCUUCUUAAAUUGAUGAAUUUAGAGAACCAGCUUGGUUUCAAAUACUCGGAUUGUACAUUGUACAGUGUCUGGAGAUUUACUGAAUCCACCUUAUCUGGAAGGGACAGAUUUUUGUGCUUAAAUCUGCGCGUGAGAGAAAAUGAGGAUAUGAAGUUAGUAGUAUAUCCAAGAAGGAGAUAUCUCACUUGUCUCAUCCUCCAGACAGAAGUAGGAAGGUAUAUGGUUCCCAAACAUCCUCGGAUGUCCAAGGUAAGAAGGGUUUCAAGAUAACAUAUACGGGAAGGAAAUUCUCCAUGGAAAGUUCCUUUUAGUUUAAUGUAACUUAAGUGGUUCAUGUUCACAAUUUCAUUUGGCAAAGAGCACCAAGAAUAUCUUGCCUCUAGACUCAAAACACGCAGGAACCUGAAUCUGGAAAUCAUAUGUUGGAGAUGUUGCUGGUCGAUUCCCUGGUAAUCGCUGGUGAAACAUAGCAAAGCACGAAUCUUGGGAGCUUCAGAGUUUGAAGUGACAUACUCAGUGACAUGUUGAGGAUGGAGAGCAAGUCUUCGAAUUCUGGUAGUAGUAGCACCAAAACCUCUGCUGUCUACCUUCUGAAAAAAGUUGCUCUCUUCAGCCAGUGUAAUGCAAAGAUCAUGCAAAAGAUCAUGAAUUCGACAACUUUUGAUCCUUCCAUCGAAUCCUCUACUAGCAACCUGGAUUAAAUUCCGAGCCACCAAGAUGUUUAGGUAGUCUGCCCCAAUAUCUGUAGCAUCCAUCCCCCUUUCAGUUCCUAGAAAUUUCUCAGCAACCCACAUGUUGAUCAAAUCAGAAGCAUAUAUUUGUGUAUCCUCAGGAAAGAGUCCAAAAUAGAGAAAGCAAGGUUUUAAAGUGGCCGGCAAAUCCGUGUAACUCAAAGUCAAAAUCCUUGAGAAUUUGUCUUGAUCAUCUUGACCUAUUUUCUUGAGUAUCCCAUUCCAUUCAAGUUCUGUUCUUUCUCGGGCACGCAACAUACCUGCUGUCAUCUCAAUAGCUAGAGGCACGCCACCACAUCUUCCUACUAUCUUCCUAGCAAUGUCUAUCAGCUCUGGUGGAUCGAUGGUGGUUUCUUGAAGGGUUGUGAUCAUCUUGGAGAAUAGCUUCCAGCUAUUUUCUGGAUCUAGAGGUUGCAACUUAUGAAGUGAUUUUUCACCUCCAAUGUAUCGACCAACAUUAUUAUUUCGUGAAGUAAUAAUAAGCCUACUGCCACUUCUACAAUUGUUGGGGAAGACAAGUUUCAAACCAUCCCAAGUGCUAGUAUUCCAAAUGUCAUCCAAGAAAACAAGAUACCUUUUUUCCUUCAAGAAUAUGCUCAAGUUGGACUCCAAGUCCUCAUCUCUCCUUCCUUCUGGUAGGCCUACUUGUCUAGCUAUGCUGAGUAGAAGCUCCCUCAUUCUUGGCUCUUGAGAAAUAUAGACUAAAGCGGAGCACUCGAAAUUACCUUGAACACGCCUGUAAAUUCUCUUUCCAAGUGUUGUCUUUCCCAGACCUGGCAUGCCAACUAUUGAGACUACAGCGUACCUUAAAUGUGCAUCGAGUAAUUUGGCCUCUAAACUUUGGCAAUCUUUGUCUAGACCAACAACAUCAGGUUCAUCGGCAUAGAGAAAUGAUCUUCUAAAAUCCCAGUUGCCAUCAGCUUCAGCACUAACACCGGUAUCCAUGAUACCAUAAGUUGUUCUUAUGCGAUCAAUUUCAUGCACCCUUCUCUUGAUCUUCUCAAUUUCUGAAACAAACUUAAAUGCAGCUAUUGCAAACGGAAUGGCGUGUAAAGUGUUCUUAAAAAACCCUAGUGAUUUUCCUCCCUUGGAUGCAACUUUGGGAAGAAACUCAUCCAGAAUAUCUUCCACAUCACGAGCUAUUUCUUCAAUAUCCUUGAUCAUGUUCUUGAUUCUUUCGUCUCUGGCUUGCUUGGACUCAGCAUCUUUGAGGUAAGAUUGCAUGUGUCUCAUCUCUCUUUCGAUCCAUUUUGUGUUCUCUGGCAAUUUACUAUACCUAGAAACUUGUGCUGAAAUAAGUUCACCGGCAAUAUCUGCAGCCUUCUUGAUUACUACUGUCAGCAGAAUUUCUGCCAUGUUUUGUUUUGUCACAGUAAAAUUGAAUCUGAAAGUUGAAUUGUGUAAUGUUAUCUCUAUUGCAAUGCUAAUAGUUCUGAAUUCUUCAUUGUAUUGCUGGUCAACCUACUGAUGUAUCUGUCUAUUGUUCUAAAGUCAACCAUCUCCUGCCCCCUUCAUAAAUAUAUAAGAAGUAGGCAUCCAUCCAACACUAGGAAAACAAAAGGAAAUAAUAUUAAAGUAUUUCUCUAGUUCAACAUGGUACAGAUGGAAUUUGAGAAUUGUAAAUGCAAUAAAAUAGUGAAAGGCACCGACUCUGGUAUCUGGCUUGUGGAUUUCAACUUUUAAAUCUUUAAUCCUAUUGUUGGUUAUAGAGUUAGUGGUGUGCAGGAUUUCAGGUCCUUGAGUUCUUAGUAAUAAAAAUAAUAAAACAGCUAGGCUUUAAAUAAGCACCUAUAUUUAAGUUAUAAGUGGCUUUUGGAAAUCUUUUUAACUUUUCUUGGUCUAAUAAUCCAUAUGACUAUGCUUACUGUUAACUGCCAAGUGCCAACACAAAAACUGAUCAUACAAAAACUUAUGGUAAUAUGAGUACUGGUGAAAGUGCUGAAACUGAAAGUGAAGACCAUUUACUAUCACUGAAGUUUACAGUUUUGAUCUAACAGGACAUUGCAAGAAAUGUUAAAGGUAUAGCCUUUGAAGAUGUGUAGUUCAGAUACAUUGGAACAUUUGUCAAGAUUUAUUUUUCUCUGUGAUCAAUCUAGAGAUCCUCUUCUAAAUCACCAGGUAUGCAUAUGUGAAAGCUAUAUUAACUCUUUUUCCAUCAAUAAUAGUUUGACCAAAAGAAAAUGGACACCCAAUCCUUUGUCUUUUUUAUUCUAGUGUAAGGUAGGUGGCAUAUCAUCCGAUUUCUUUUAUGCAGGGGAUUAUUGACUUAAGAAUGAAUUGAUUUAGACACUUCAGAAGGUUGACCUUCCAUAUGAUAAAGGAUAUACUGACAUCAGUUAUCCAACAGGGUGCAUUACACAAUUCAGGCCCGGGUGACUGCUUAUCAAAAACGUAGGUCUCCACAAAGUUGUAAGACCAUGUAUGGGAGCUGAUGCUUGCCCAGUGCCGGAAGGGUCAAGGAAGUUGGUGACUCAAUGACAGGGGAGUUGACGACCAAAGGCCGGGUAAACGGUGGCCAUAAAUGUAACGGUCGUCGGGUAAGUUUCGAUCCUCACGAAAGGUGUAAUUAUCUGGGCAUUGUCUUGGAGAGAGGCUCGGUGAAAUAGACAUGUUUGUGAAGAAGCGGACUUCUGGACAAAAAGACCGGAUGAAGCUUCACUAUUCCGCAGUAAUUUAGAUUGGAAAUAUGGUGAAAUGUUAUUAACAUCAGUGACCAAUAAGGCUGCAGAAAUAGCUGGUGAACCUAUUUUCUUGUUUUUAUCAGUUGUCAGAGAACAUCAAUUGAAUCAAUCAAAAAAGAGAUGAGAACAUGCAAUCAUACCUCAAAGAUGCUGAGACCAAACAAGAGAGUGACCAAAGGGUCAAAAUCAUGAAGAGAAAGUGUUUUUUGUUCUUUAACAUUUAGAGGGUGUUUGGCUAAACUUAUAAGCUGGUCUAACGAGCUUAUAAGCACUUUUCGGCUUAUCUACGCGUUUGAUAAAGUUAAAAGUGCUUAUAAGUCAAGUGCUUAUAAGUCAAAAAUAAGCCAAAAGCCAUAAGAUGGUCACCCCCAGCUUAUAAAUUUUUAGCUUAUAAGCACUUUAAGUUUGACCAAGAUUUUUACUAUUUUAUCCUUAAAAUUUUCCUUUUUAGAACAAAACUCCUACAUCGAUAAUCACUGCCUCAAGUAUUUUUUCAACCUAAACCCUCCUCCUCUUCAAGUCUGCAAUUCUCAUUGACUAUUUAAGAUAAGCAAAUCCUCUAUUCCUUUGCAUAUUUGUAUAAAUGUAAUUGUGUAUUAAUCUUUGAACUGUAUGUAAUAAAUGAAGACAUAUCAAUUUUUUGGUGUAUUGCUUUCUAAGUAUUGUGGUGAUGAAGACAAUGUUUGUUUCUCUUCAA
rnacentral:lncRNA from 1 species